rnacentral:lncRNA from 1 species
CCUGACUCCGCCAAUCUACCCGUGUGCCCCCCCCCCAUUUUUUGUGGGGGGGCUGCCUCUCGUGCUUCCCCGGCAGGCUUCUGUAUCUCUCCAAUACUUGCCCCCAAGUCCAGUCUAUCCUCUUUCGCAACUCCUCCAGAGACCAGGAAUCCAUCUCCUCCCGGGCACGCUGCUUGAUCCAGUUGUGGUGGGUAGUUCUGUAACGGCUGUCGUAAUGAGGAGACCAAGAUGCAGCGUGAUUCCAAUAAAGAGGGCCCGUGCUUUCUAAAUCCAUCACUUUCCAUCUGGCGGAAAAGAAGGAGCGAGCGAGAGAAAGUGCGAGAGAGAGAGAGAAAAGAAAAGAAAAAGCUCCAUACUUAGCUUAAACCUUGAAGGACAUGCAUAGAAUCAACCCCACUUAAAUCAAUCCGCUGGUGCGAAAUAUAAUUUCCUGCUUCAAAAAGUUUGUGAAAUAUGUGCAUGGAAUAUGAAACCUUGGCCAGAAUCCUGGUGCCUGCUGUUCUGCACUCCUGACCGGUGUCGCAGGAACCCUCUGAACACAUCAACAACUGCCUCCCACAAAGCAUUGUUACCUAUCGUUCCAAAAAAAGGCAGCGGAACUUGCAGAGCAAAGGAAACAACUACUUCAAGGUCUCAGAGCGAGUGACGUCACUGAUUGAAACGCUACUAGAGACCACCGCUAACUAGCUAGCUAUUUCACACCGGCUCAUGCGUGUGUGUGCAUUUGUGUGUCUGUAAAACGGC